rnacentral:rRNA from 1 species
AUACGUAGGGAGCGAGCGUUGUCCGGAAUUACUGGGUGUAAAGGGAGCGUAGGCGGGAGUGCAAGUCAGAUGUGUAAUACCGGGGCUUAACCCCGGAGCUGCAUUUGAAACUGUGGUUCUUGAGUGAAGUAGAGGCAAGCGGAAUUCCUGGUGUAGCGGUGAAAUGCGUAGAUAUCAGGAGGAACACCGGUGGCGAAGGCGGCUUGCUGGGCUUUUACUGACGCUGAGGCUCGAAAGCGUGGGUAGCAAACAGGAUUAGAUACCCUGGUAGUCCACGCUGUAAACGAUGAUUACUAGGUGUGGGGGGACUGACCCCUUCCGUGCCGCAGUUAACACAAUAAGUAUUCCGCCUGGGGAGUACGGCCGCAAGGUUGAAACUCAAAGGAAUUGACGGGG